ensembl:lncRNA
AUAGUCACUUAGAAAAAUAAAUUAAAUGCUUUCAGGCCAAACUCUACUUCAGAGUACACUAGUGGAGAUCCAGAUAAAUACACAAGUUACCCUGAUGUGUUCAGCUUAACAACCUCUUGUGUGUUUCGUUUCUGACCCCUCUAAACCUUUUCCUUCUGGCAUUUAUGCUUCCCACUGUAGAAUAUCUACAUGAGAGCAAUCCUUAAGUUAAUGUAAGUAAACUCCAGCCCUGUCUCUAACUCUUUCUCAAGUGAAUGGACAAAGACGGACCUCUUUGCCACAUCUUAGGCCAAGAAUAAGUUAUAUAAUAUCACAGAGGCAUGCAGGCUAGGAGUGAGAUGCACCCUGUGAGACACUUAUGCACCUGCUCCUCUUGUUUGCUUGCAAUGCUUGGUUCCUGUGAGUAAAUGGAGUGUGAAAAAUAUUGUCAUAAUUAAUAAUUAUUUCAAUAGAAUUUUAAUUACAGAGUGGUAAUGGAAAGCUUUUUACAAAAUCUUUUGGUGUUCUUAAGCGUAAAAACACUUUUUGCUUUCCUCUAAUUUGAAGAUAUUCAUUAUGGGCUCCUAGACCAGUUCAUCAGCUGGGGUAAAAAGAAAAUUUGAACAGUUAGACUGAUUGAUUUGAACAUUUGUUGAACAAAGUACAGUUGUAGCUAUUUCAACCUUUUUUUUUUUUUUUUUUGGUAAAGGGAGAAUCUACCUUUUUAAGCUGUAACCCUUGACUAAAUAGGUUAUGAAUGGUCGAUAUUUAUAGUUAACUUUUGUUUUAUCUUUCAGCUUCCCCAGAGAAUAGGGAGGAUAUCAUCGUUACAGAGUGGAAGRAGGCUUGCUGUACAGCAGAGGUCCAGCUUGCAGUGCCCAGCAGCUCCUUGAGUUGCCACACUGAGUUGCCAGACAAAAAGGAUAAAAACACACUGCUCCCCGUCUCUGCGGAUGGAAAUGCCAUCAAUUCCUCGUCACCUUCAGUCAGCAAACGAGGCACCUUUGGCAUCACCACCACGUUUGUGGCUCUUGUGGGUUGUGCUGUAGUACUGGUAGUGUAUUGCAUUCUAAAAAAACGAAACCGUAAAGGUACAGUCUGAUAAAAUGCAUGUUUCCUAGGGGUAACUUGGCUUAGAAGCAACACUUGUAGUGAAAAAGGGAGCAUACACUGUUUUCUUUCUGGAUCUCAUCUCCAUUARAUUGUUUUUGCAGUUGCUAAAUGAUGUUGAUUGUGAAGGGGAGGCUGGGCUAAAAGCUGGCCUGAACUCCACCUCUGUGUCUGGCACCAGGGCACAGUGCCUAGUCAUCUGGCCUCCUCAGGAAAAAGACACACAGAGUAAAUUUCCUCCUUGCUAAAAUAAUACAGCCAGGUGGUUGCACCUCUCAGCCUUACCUCARCGUCAUCUAAUUCCUUAGAGUAGUCUCAGAUUGCAACAUUUCAACCCAGAAAGCAGCGCACAGGCUAUGGCAAACACUGGAAGUGAGGUGCGCUGUGCAGCUUUUCCAGUAGCAAUAUAUCACUGCCCAGGGGGGUGUUUGUUCUGCAAACUAGUAUGCAUGGAAAAGGCUGGGAGAGGCUCUAUGGAGUAAACAGGGAGUUGUAUGGAUAACAUGUUCUGGAAAUAACUGCUUUCCUCCACUGUGCCUUCCUCCACUGCUUCCCUCUUCCUCCAUAAAACGGAGACCGCAGUAUUCUUAAACUGACUUAAUGUUAAACCAUCUCUUACUUCGGAAAUUGUUGUGCUGC